rnacentral:rRNA from 1 species
AGUGAACGCUGGCGGUAGGCCUAACACAUGCAAGUCGAACGGCAGCACAGUAAGAGCUUGCUCUUACGGGUGGCGAGUGGCGGACGGGUGAGGAAUACAUCGGAAUCUACUUUUUCGUGGGGGAUAACGUAGGGCAACUUACGCUAAUACCGCAUACGACCUACGGGUGAAAGCAGGGGAUCUUCGGACCUUGCGCGAUUGAAUGAGCCGAUGCCGGAUUAGCUAGUUGGCAGGGUAAAGGCCCACCAAGGCGACGAUGCGUAGCCGAUCUGAGAGGAUGAUCGGCCACACUGGAACUGAGACACGGUCCAGACUCCUACGGGAGGCAGCAGUAGGGACUCUUCCGCAAUGGGCGAAAGCCUGACGGAGCAACGCCGCGUGAGUGAAGAAGGUCUUCGGAUCGUAAAACUCUGUUAUUAGGGAAGAACAAAUGUGUAAGUAACUAUGCACGUCUUGACGGUACCUAAUCAGAAAGCCACGGCUAACUACGUG